rnacentral:misc_RNA from 1 species
UGUGGCAGCCAACUUUUGUAUGUGGGAUCUGUUGAUACUCAGAUAAGUUGUCCACGUGCGGUGUAAACAUUCCUGGCACUCUGUGUGCCAUAGUUUGAGGAUCCGAAUGUGGAAAGGUUUUAAAACCAGGACAGUUUCAGCUAAACUGAAACUCGGGAAAUGGGAGACAAUUUACUUGCUGUGGAUGAACCGGAGUAUGCUGCGAGUACGGAACUUUCGCAGGACUCCAACGCUUCUAGCCACGAUCUGUCACAGGGAUCAUCGUGUGCAUAUGUGUUAGAGACUCUCCCGAGCAGCGGAACUAAAACGAAAAAGAAAAAAGGGACCAAAAAGAAAAAGAAAAAGGAGAAAUCUUCCAAGGAGAGAAAUGAAGACGGAGAAGACAGUUCGAAAACGAGAACUAGCCGGGCGUCUGCUAACCGCAGAAACAGCAGUAGCAGACGGCCCGAACCAGAGGGCGGGAACUCUCCCGUUAGUUUCAGUGUGGAAGAAUAUGAUCGGAUUAUUUAUAGUGACGCUCCAUUGUUUCCAGAUGUCGAAAUUACCGCGGAUGACUUAAUUUCUAAUGAGGGGAGGCGGUCCCGCACUCAGCGACUAUCCAGGGACGGCGUCGUAAUGAUACCCUGCGCCCAACUUGGCAUCACCUCCAAUACCAUGAUAAAAUUCGCCAUCAUUGGAACCGAGUUACACAAUGUCGUACAGGUGGCGUUAAAACGGAUGGAGACAGAAAUCAACGGCAUGAACCGCCGUGUACAGCUUCUAGAGGAAGACAUGGAGAGGAAUGAGGAGAGACUUCAGACAGCCACCGAGCGUCUCGAGGAGGCAUCAAAAGCUGCAGAUGAGAGUGAGAGAGGUCGUAAGGUGCUGGAGAGCCGCACCCAGGCUGAUGAGGAGCGUCUGGAGUUCCUGGAGAAACAGCUCGAAGAAGCCAAGUGGAUUGCUGAGGAUGCCGACCGCAAAUACGAUGAGGCCGCCCGUAAACUAGCGAUCACAGAAGUGGACUUAGAGCGUGCUGAAGCUCGCCUGGAGGCCGCAGAAGCGAAAAUCCUUGAACUGGAGGAGGAGCUGAAGGUUGUUGGCAACAAUAUGAAAUCACUGGAAAUCAGUGAACAAGAGGCUUCUCAGAGGGAGGAUAGCUACGAAGAGACCAUCAGGGACUUGACACAAAGACUUAAAGAUGCUGAGAACCGUUCGACUGAGGCGGAAAGAACCGUAUCUAAGUUGCAAAAAGAGGUGGACAGACUGGAAGAAGGAGAUAAGGCUAGAGAACGCAGAGAGGGAAAUCAGUCUCCUGCAGCUUGAGAAUGAUAAGCUUCAUGAGGAGCUGCAGGAACAAAGGGAGAGAAAUCGGUCACUACAACUCGACAUGGAGCAGACGCUGUCAGAUCUCCAGAAUCUGUGAUGAGCUUUUGGCCGAGAAGGAGAAGUACAAGGCGAUUAGUGACGAGCUUGAUCAGACCU